GGACGGGGCCCGCACAAGCAGCGGAGCGUGUGGUUUUAAUUCGAUGUUACGCGAAAAAACCUUACCCGGGCUUGACAUGCAGGUAGUAGGGAACCGAGAGGGGACCGACUCUUCGGAGAGCCUGCACAGGUGCUGCAUGGCUGUCGUCAGCUCGUGCCGUGAGGUGUCCGGUUAAGUCCGGUAACGAGCGCAACCCUCGCCAUAUGUUACAAGUGUCAUAUGGGACUGCCGAUAUAAAGUCGGAGAAGUGGGGAUGACGUCAAGUCAGCAUGGCCUUUAUGUCCGGGGCUACACACACGCUACAAUGGCCGGUACAAUAGGUAGCAAGACCGCGAGGUGGAGCCAAUCCUUAAAGCCGGUCUCAGUUCAGAUUGCAGGCUGCAACCCGCCUGCAUGAAGUCGGAGUUGCUAGUAAUCGCGAAUCAGCAGGUCGCGGUGAAUACGUUCCCGGGCCUU
rnacentral:rRNA from 1 species